GGAUGUGAGGGCAAUCUGGCUGCGACAUCUGUCACCCCAUUGAUCGCCAGGGUUGAUUCGGCUGAUCUGGCUGGCUAGGCAGGUGUCCCCUUCCUCCCUCACUGCUCCAUGUGCGUCCCUCCCGAAGCUGCGCGCUCGGACGAAGAGGAUGACCAUCCCCGCUAGAGGAGGACCGGUCUUCGGUCAAGGGUAUACGAGUAGCUGCGCUCCCCUGCUAGAACCUCCAAACAAGCUCCCAAGUAACUAUUAUUGCGAGAUAAUGUAUUGAAUAUCUAUCAUUCUUGAGGUGCCUGUUAUAUACGGACUUUUUAAUUCCUUAUGGCAUCUUAU
ensembl:misc_RNA 7SK 7SK RNA